rnacentral:tmRNA from 1 species
GGAAUACUCUAAACACUGACUGCACCCGGAGAUGCUUCGGUGGAAAUGGUUUCGGACAGGAGUUCGACUCUCCUCGCCUCCACCA